rnacentral:rRNA from 1 species
CCUACGGGAGGCAGCAGUGAGGAAUAUUGGUCAAUGGACGAGAGUCUGAACCAGCCAAGUAGCGUGAAGGAUGACUGCCCUAUGGGUUGUAAACUUCUUUUAUAAAGGAAUAAAGUGAGGCAAGUGUGCCUUUGGGGAGGUAAUUGAGGAAUAAGGAUAGGCGAACUCCGUGCCAGCAGGCGCGGUAAGAGGGAGGAUACGAGCGUUAUCCGGAUUUAUUGGGUUUAAAGGGAGCGUAGAUGGGUUGUUAAGUCAGUUGUGAAAGUUUGCGGCUCAACCGUAAAAUUGCAAUUGAUACUGGCAGUCUUGAGUACAGUGGAGGUAGGCGGAAUUCGUGGUGUAGCGGUGAAAUGCUUAGAUAUCACGAAGAACUCCGAUUGCGAAGGCAGCUUACUAAACUGCCACUGACAUUCCUUCUCGAAAGUGUGGGUAUCAAACAGGAUUAGAUACCCUUGUAGUC